rnacentral:rRNA from 1 species
AUUUGACCUCGGAUCAGGUAGGAAUACCCGCUGAACUUAAGCAUAUCAAA